GACGAACGCUGGCGGCGUGCUUAACACAUGCAAGUCGAACGGAAAGGCCUGCUUUCCCUUGUGGAUUGCGGGUACUCGAGUGGCGAACGGGUGAGUAACACGUGAGUGAUCUGCCCCCAACUUGGGUAUAAGCCUGGGAAACUGGGUCUAAUUCCCGAUAGGACUGCAGGGUGGUGCCUGUGGUGGAAAACGAUUUUCUAGUGGUUGGGGAUGAGCUCGCGGCCUAUCAGCUUGUUGGUGGGGUAAUGGCCUACCAAGGCGGCGACGGGUAGCCGGCCUGAGAGGGUGGACGGCCACAUUGGGACUGGGAUACGGCCCAGACUCCUACGGGAGGCAGGAGUGGGUAGUAUUGCACAGUGGGCGGAAGCCUGCUGCAGCGACGCCGCGUGGGAGAUGACGGGCUUCGGGUUGUAAACUCCUUGCGACCGCGAGGAAGCCGCCUGGUUGGAGGGGUGGUGACGGUAGUGGUAGAAGAAGCACCGGCUAACUACGUG
rnacentral:rRNA from 1 species